rnacentral:tRNA from 1 species
UCCCUGGUGGUCCAGUGGUUAAGACUCUGAGCUCCCAAUGCAGCAGGCCCAGGUUUGAUCCCUGGCCAAGAAA